UGGGAUGUAACUCAGUGGUAGAGCCCUUGCUUGGCAAGUGCAAUGACCUGGGUUCAAAUCCCAGUAUAACAC
rnacentral:tRNA from 1 species